GACGAACGCUGGCGGCGCGCCUAACACAUGCAAGUCGAGGGAGAACCGGACCUUCGGGUCCGGGGAGACCGGCGAACGGGUGAGUAACACGUGAGGAAUCUGCCCUGUAGACCGGAAUAACCACGGGAAACUGUGGCUAAUGCCGGAUAUUCUCGCCGCUCCGCAUGGAGCAACGAGGAAAUGGUCAGCCGCUACAGGAUGACCUCGCGGCCUAUCAGCUUGUUGGUGGGGUAACGGCCCACCAAGGCUACGACGGGUAGCUGGCGUGAGAGCGCGAACAGCCACACUGGGACUGAGACACGGCCCAGACUCCUACGGGAGGCAGCAGUGGGGAAUCUUGCUCAAUGGGCGAAAGCCUGAAGCAGCGACGCCGCGUGCGGGAAGAAGGCCUUCGGGUUGUAAACCGCUUUCAGGGGGGAAGAAGCGAAAGUGACGGUACCCCCAGAAGAAGGACCGGCCAACUACGUGCCAGCCGCCGCAGUAAGAC
rnacentral:rRNA from 1 species